rnacentral:rRNA from 1 species
CAGGAUGAACGCUAGCUACAGGCUACACAUGCAAGUCGAGGGGCGAGUCAGGGCGAUAGCUGCUGUGCCGCUGGCGACCGGCGCACGGGUGAGUAACGCGUAUCCAACCUCCCCCUUAGUAGAGGAUAGCCCGGCGAAAGUCGGAUUAAUACUCUAUGUUCUUCAAUGCGGACAUCUAACUUGAAGCAAAGAUUCAUCGCUAAGGGAUGGGGAUGCGUCUGAUUAGCUUGUCGGCGGGGUAACGGCCCACCGAGGCGACGAUCAGUAGGGGUUCUGAGAGGAAGGUCCCCCACAUUGGUACUGAGACACGGACCAAACUCCUACGGGAGGCAGCAGUGAGGAAUAUUGGUCAAUGGGCGCGAGCCUGAACCAGCCAAGUAGCGUGCAAGGAUGACUGCCCUAUGGGUUGUAAACUGCUUUUUAUGCGGGAAUAAAGUCAGGUACGCGUACCUGUUUGUAUGUACCGCAUGAAUAAGGACCGGCUAAUUCCGUGCCAGCCGCGGC